AGAACGAACGCUGGCGGCAGGCCUCAAACAUGCAAGUCUAGGGGAUAGCAAUAUCACCGGCGGACGGGUGCGUAACGCGUGGGAAUGUACCUAUUGGUUCGGAACAACACAGGGAAACUUGUGCUAAUACCGAAUGUGCCCGUAAGGGGAAAGAUUUAUCGCCAAUAGAUCAGCCCGCGUUCGAUUAGCUUGUUGGUGAGGUAAUGGCUCACCAAGGCGACGAUCGAUAGCUGUUCUGAGAGGAAGAUCAGCCACACUGGGACUGAGACACGGCCCAGACUCCUACGGGAGGCAGCAGUUGGGAAUCUUGGACAAUGGGGGAAACCCUGAUCCAGCCAUGCCGCGUGAGUGAUGAAGGCCUUCGGGUUGUAAAACUCUUUCGCGCACGACGAUAAUGACGGUAGUGCGAGAAGAAGCUCCGGCUAACUUCGUGCCAGCAGCCGC
rnacentral:rRNA from 1 species